rnacentral:rRNA from 1 species
UACGAAGGGGGCUAGCGUUGUUCGGAAUUACUGGGCGUAAAGCGCACGCAGGUGGCUGAGUCAGUCGAUUGUGAAAGCCCUGGGCUUAACCUGGGAAUUGCAGUCGAUACUACUCAGCUAGAGUAUGGGAGAGGGUAGUGGAAUUCCCGGUGUAGCGGUGAAAUGCGCAGAUAUCAGGAGGAACACCGGUGGCGAAGGCGGUUCUCUGGGCAUUACCUGACGCUGAGGAGCGAAAGUGUGGGGAGCGAACAGG